rnacentral:rRNA from 1 species
AGAGUUUGAUCCUGGCUCAGGAUGAACGCUAGCGGCAGGCCUAAUACAUGCAAGUCGAACGGGCUGGAGUAGCAAUACUUCAGUUAGUGGCGCACGGGUGCGUAACGCGUAUGCAACCUACCUUUUAUUGGGGGAUAGCCCGAAGAAAUUCGGAUUAAUACCGCAUAAUAUCAUUUGAGGGCAUCUGAGGAUGAUGAAAGCUACGGCGAUAAAAGAUGGGCAUGCGUGUCAUUAGCUAGUUGGUUGAGGUAACGGCUCACCAAGGCGACGAUGACUAGGGGUUCUGAGAGGAUGAUCCCCCACACUGGUACUGAGAUACGGACCAGACUCCUACGGGAGGCAGCAGUAGGGAAUAUUGGGCAAUGGAGGCAACUCUGACCCAGCCAUGCCGCGUGAAGGAUGAAGGCCUUCUGGGUUGUAAACUUCUUUUAUCUAGGAAGAAAAUACUCUUGCGAGAGGAACUGACGGUACUGGAUGAAUAAGCACCGGCUACUCCGUGCCAGCAGCCGCGGUAAUACGGAGGGUGCAAGCGUUGUCCGGAUUUAUUGGGUUUAAAGGGUGCGUAGGCGGCUUGAUAAGUCCGUGGUGAAAGCCAACAGCUCAACUGUUGAACUGCCAUGGAUACUGUCAGGCUUGAGUACAGACGAGGUAGGCGGAAUGGAUCGUGUAGCGGUGAAAUGCAUAGAUACGAUCCAGAACUCCGAUUGCGAAGGCAGCUUACUAGGCUGUAACUGACGCUGAGGCACGAAAGCGUGGGGAGCGAACAGGAUUAGAUACCCUAGUAGUCC